rnacentral:rRNA from 1 species
GGAAAAGAAACCAACAGGGAUUGCCUCAGUAACGGCGAGUGAAGCGGCAAAAGCUCAAAUUUGAAAUCCUUCGGGAGUUGUAAUUUGUAGGUUGGGAGACCCCGCGGCUAGUGGCACCAAGUCCCUUGGAACAGGGCGCCUUAGAGGGUGAGAGCCCCGUAGGUACCACAACACCGUCUUGUGUCUCCUCUCCAAAGAGUCGAGUUGUUUGGGAAUGCAGCUCAAAGUGGGUGGUAAAUUCCAUCUAAAGCUAAAUACCGGCGAGAGACCGAUAGCGAACAAGUACAGUGAUGGAAAGAUGAAAAGCACUUUGAAAAGAGAGUGAAACAGUACGUGAAAUUGUUGAAAGGGAAGGGCUUGCAAGCAGACACGGCCUUCGUGCCGGGCCAGCAUCGGUUGCUAGGGGUGGAUAAGGAACAAGGAAUGUAGCUCCUCGGAGUAUUAUAGCCUUGCGCGAUACACCCACUGGCGACCGAGGCCUGCGGUAUUCUUUACCUAGGAUGCUGGCGUAAUGGUUGCAAGCCGCCCGUCUUGAAAC